UAACAGGAAGCAGCUUGCUGUUUCGCUGACGAGUGGCGGACGGGUGAGUAAUGUCUGGGAAACUGCCUGAUGGAGGGGGAUAACUACUGGAAACGGUAGCUAAUACCGCAUAACGUCGCAAGACCAAAGAGGGGGACCCUCGGGCCUCUUGCCAUCGGAUGUGCCCAGAUGGGAUUAGCUUGUUGGUGGGGUAACGGCUCACCAAGGCGACGAUCCCUAGCUGG
rnacentral:rRNA from 1 species